AUGCAAGUCGAGGGGUAUAGGUUUUCGGACCUAGAGACCGGCGCACGGGUGCGUAACGCGUAUGCAAUCUACCUUAUACAGAGGGAUAGCCCAGAGAAAUUUGGAUUAAUACCUCAUAGCAUAGCAACUUCGCAUGAAGUCACUAUUAAAGUUCCAACGGUAUAAGAUGAGCAUGCGUCCUAUUAGCUAGAUGGUAAGGUAACGGCUUACCAUGGCUACGAUAGGUAGGGGUCCUGAGAGGGAGAUCCCCCACACUGGUACUGAGACACGGACCAGACUCCUACGGGAGGCAGCAGUGAGGAAUAUUGGACAAUGGGCGCAAGCCUGAUCCAGCCAUGCCGCGUGCAGGAAGACGCAUCUAUGGUGUGUAAACUGCUUUUGUACGGGAAGAAACACUCCCUCGUGAGGGAGCUUGACGGUACCGUAAGAAUAAGGAUCGGCUAACUCCGUGCCAGCAGCCGCGGUAAUACGGAGGAUCCAAGCGUUAUCCGGAAUCAUUGGGUUUAAAGGGUCCGUAGGCGGUUUAAUAAGUCAGUGGUGAAAGCCCAUCGCUCAACGAUGGAACGGCCAUUGAUACUGUUAGACUUGAAUUACUAGGAAGUAACUAGAAUAUGUAGUGUAGCGGUGAAAU
rnacentral:rRNA from 1 species